AUGGUGGUGGAGAAUGCCGAGUUUCUGAGCACUUUCCCAGGGAAUGAGCAAGAUAGCUACCAUCACUCAGAUGAUUUUGAUGGACUAGGCGUACUCUGCAUGUCACAGCAGCAGCUUCUUAUCCUCACUAUGAGUGUGUGCAUCUCGUCCACAGAAGAGUCCCAGAAGUGUUUACUGAGUGAACCAAUGAUCUCCAAGUGUACAUUUCCUAUUCCUUCAGUUCAGUCCCUGGCUUUGAUUUGGGGUGCACCCCUCCAGGUCACAGACAACCAGACCCCAAUGGUGGUUCAAGGGAGAGCAGGUGAUGUGAUCCUACCCCAUGGAGUAGACUUCAGGGCUUCUGUGAGAGCUUCCGGUAAAGAGAAUACAUGGCUGGAGCAUCUGGCUGCCAUCUUGCUACCAGGUAAAGUCUGAGACUGGAGCCAAUUUGGCAAAGAGAAAUAUACGUGUACACACACCCCACUCACUCAUACAUGCCUAUAUGAUAUAUAUGGAUAUAAGAAUAAAUGAAUAAAAUUCUUUCCCCAUUAAGUCUUCCAAGCCUAUUCCCUGUGUCUCCCUUCUUCUUGUUCAUCUUCACUGCACUCAACGUAAGUUCCUACAGCUGUAUACUUCAUCAUCUCCACUCAUUUCCUGGGUCACCUCUCAUCUAUCCAAUAUGAUUGCAAUUUCUCUUGUGAGUGGGAUUCUAACCCCUCUGCAUAUAAAUACUUUCUUUUCAUGUAAGGGAGGGAGAGGGAAUAACAUAUACCAAGAAGUGUGCUAGCACUGAGCACUUUGAAUACAAAGUUUUAACAUUAAGGAGGUUAUAUUUUAGUGAAGGGAGAUAGACCAAAAACAAAUUAACCAAACUCCUAAUUUAUUCCUACCCCCCCCCCCCCCCCCCCCCUUCUCUUUUUGCUCUGUGUAAGUCUAUUUCUGUUUUGUAAAUAAGUUCAUUUGCAUCAUUUUUUUUUUAAGGUUUCACAUAUAAGUGAUAUCAGGAGGCUUCCUUGGUGGCUUAGUUAGUAAAGAAUCCACCUGUGAUUUGGAAAACCCAGGUUUGAUCCCUGGGUCAGUGAGAUCCCUUGGAGAAGGGCAUGGCAACCCACUCCAUUGUUCUUGCCUGGGGAACUCCAGAGGAGCCUGGGAUUGCAAAGAGUUGGACUCGACUGAGCAACUAGUACUUUUACUUUCAUAAGUGAUAUCACAUGAUAUUUGUAUUUGUCUGACUUAAUUCACUUAAUAUGAUAAUUUCUGGGCUCAUCCAUGUUUCUUCAAACAGCAUUAUUUUAUUCUUUUAUGGCUAAUAUUAC
rnacentral:lncRNA from 1 species